GAUGAACGCUGGCGGCGUGCCUAAUACAUGCAAGUCGAGCGAACGGACGAGAAGCUUGCUUCUCUGAUGUUAGCGGCGGACGGGUGAGUAACACGUGGAUAACCUACCUAUAAGACUGGGAUAACUUCGGGAAACCGGAGCUAAUACCGGAUAAUAUUUUGAACCGCAUGGUUCAAAAGUGAAAGACGGUCUUGCUGUCACUUAUAGAUGGAUCCGCGCUGCAUUAGCUAGUUGGUAAGGUAACGGCUUACCAAGGCAACGAUGCAUAGCCGACCUGAGAGGGGGAUCGGCAACACCAGAACUGAGACACGGUCCAGAGUCCUACGGGAGGCAGCAGUAGGGAAUCUUCCGCAAUGGGCGAAAGCCUGACGGAGCAAAGCCGCGUGAGUGAUGAAGGUCUUCGGAUCGUAAAACUCUGUUAUUAGGGAAGAACAUAUGGGUAAGUAACUGUGCACAUCUUGACGGUACCUAAUCAGAAAGCCACGGCUAACUACGUG
rnacentral:rRNA from 1 species